rnacentral:rRNA from 1 species
UACGUAGGUCCCGAGCGUUGUCCGGAUUUAUUGGGCGUAAAGCGAGCGCAGGUGGUUUAAUAAGUCUGAUGUAAAAGGCAGUGGGUCAACCAUUGUGUGCAUUGGAAACUGUUAGACUUGAGUGCAGUAGAGGAGAGUGGAAUUCCAUGUGUAGCGGUGAAAUGCGUAGAUAUAUGGAGGAACACCGGUGGCGAAAGCGGCUCUCUGGACUGUAACUGACACUGAGGCUCGAAAGCGUGGGUAGCAAACAGG